CCGAAUUACUGACCUUAUUCCUAGACUUACAUUAUAUAACAUUUGAUAUAGCGUGUACGGCCUUCUAUAAAUCGAAACAUGUAUACCUAAGUACAUGUUUCCCAAGAACUAUCUCAGUUCUAUAAAAAAUAUCGGACGAAAAACAGAUGAAUAGUGAUACUUUAAUCUAAAAAUAAAUCAACAUCCGUUUUCGUUUACAGUAUUAAUCAUACUAAUUAUAAAUAUUUUUCCUGAAAAUUGACAUGCACACGUAGAAAUAUGUUCUUGAUAAAAGCUUAAAAGGAUUUUCAAAAAAUAUUCAUUACUUUAAAUUUUAUGGUUUUAUUUUGCCUGUCAUUUAAGAUUUCCACAGAUCAAAGACAUUAUUGUUUAAUUACAUUAACACAUUCAUAUUUCAUAAAAGGUUGAUUAGUUAAUCAAAUAAAAUUUAAUCCAAUUAGUUAAGCGGGGAUAAACGAUAAUCUAUUAAAAGGUGGUUUUCACACACGUUUGAAGAGGUGCGAAAUGCAGCAGAUACGUGUUUGUCAUAUUAGGAGGCAAUAGCAUCAAUCGCAACACACAGUAAAUCUUCAACGAUUUGAAAACGAUGGUGGAGGAACUAUGGCAAUGCGGCGUGGAAAAGAGUAUUUGUGUGCUCUGUUUUAGAAAAGGGGACACUUUCCGUCUUUUACAGAAAUUAAUCAGUCAGAUUCAAUAAAAUUCGAAGAUCUGUCAAAGAAAUGUUGAAAACAUAUCUAAAGAAGACUACGUGGAUCUGGGAAAAAGGAUUAAGUAUCCAACUCAUUAUUGUCAAGAUCUUAUGCAUCCGGGGACAAGUGGACUUUUUAAAAUACGCAGUGCUGUAAUUCAUAUAGAAUCGGGCGAAAUCAACGCCCGUAUGCGUUUUUCGCUUCAAAACCACCCUAAAUAUAAGUAUAUAUUUCUUGAAGAUUGACAUACACAAGUAGAAUUUUCAAUAAAAGCUUAAAAGGGUUUUAAAAAAUAUUCAUUAGUUUAAAUUUUAUGUCUUGAUUAUCACAGUUAUUUUUUAAUUGAUGGUAAGGGCCUCUCCAAGAGGGAGUUGGAGACUCUGUUAAGAAGCUAUGAUGAAGGGUAUAUAAAUUUCACUACUUUUUACAUAAUAAUAAUUAUUAUGCACAGAAUUUCAGAAAAGGACUACACAAAGGGCCAUAAGCACUUUUAAAAUCUCACCAUUUUCAAGGAAUUGUUAAAUAUCGUCGUUUUAAUGCGAAAGUUAAUUUUGCAGAUGGCAGAUAGCAAAUGGUGUUCAUUUUUAAAGGAGAGGGGGAAUUUUGACAAUAUUUUGAUAACUCGUUCGUGUGCGGUAGUGCGGUAAUACAUUAUAUCGGACAAGUAAAUUGUUGCUAGAGAUGCUGUUUGCUUACAAAGAUUUCCUUGGUUUGGUAAUAUACUGCUAAAUAGAUAGUAUGAGUAAAGAAUGGAUAUGUGGAAAGACCAAACAAGCUGUAAAAUUCUUUAUGUAUUACACAGCUUUGUAUAAUUAUUAUAUACAGUUUGGAGUAGGAAAAGGUUGUUCAUUUUAUACAAACUUGUUUGAGACCAUGGUUACGUACGGCCGUCUAUGAACAAAACGGGCAUAUAGAACAAGAUACAAGUUACAGGUCCAAACAAUCCAAAUGAACUGUCGAGUUUCAGAUUGGAACUCUACAACCUUAUGACGCAGAAAAAAUGAUAGUCGUGCAAUAUGGGUCAUUACUGGAGACUGUAUUUCUAAAACUGCUUACAUUUAUUUUAAUUUCACGAGUCGCAACGGUGAAGGGCCAGAAACAGAGGAGCACGACGCCGACGCUGGUGGACUGGAUCGGCAAGGCUUGUGGCUCGGGCGCAGCAAACCAUGUGGGAUCUGGGGAGACAAGACGCUUCCGGAGUGUGCUCUCCACUGCAUUUCGACGCAGAGAGGUCAGUUUUGACAUCAGAAACAAGAAGGCAAGGAGGAACCUGCUUGGAAACGUGAUGACGACCUUAGAGAGCAAAGAGAUGACCGCCUAGGACAGGACCCUGCGGAGAUAACAAUGCGGGAGCUAAGGGUCAAGGUCUCAAGUCUAAUUGGAGGAAAACGUUAUACCUUUUGACGGGGCCAUGCAAGUGAAUGGUGUGGUACAGAAGAAAUGGGAAGACGUCAAAACAGAGAUAUUAGUUGCACAUUAUGUUGAUUUCGUUUUAAUAAUGCUCAAACCCUCAUAUGUCAGUAAAACAGUUUUGUUUAAAUGCUUAUUUCGAAUCUAUGAUGGAAACUUGCAGAUUACUAGUAUUUACAUUGCCUCGUUUUAACUCGCAGUUCGUUUUCCAUUUGUUUGUUCUCAGAUCAAACAAGUUUAGUCCUCACAAUCAUACAAUUCGAGAACAAAGACUUCUUGUCGGUAUGUUGUGUGUCUUAAGCUGUGUCUGACAAAAGAACUGACAAUUUAGUGUUUUAGUACAGCACAUAGCAUUGGAAACUAAAUUUCAUAGUUUUGUACACCCAGUAAAAGACGACAGUUUAUAUAAGGAGUCGUUUUAUGAAUGGCGGCAAUGACGUCAUAGACCCUUCUCCUCUGUUGGUAAAUCAACAACUACACUACACAAAGCACAUAUUAUUGUUGAUGAAACGCAUCAUGUAGUUUACUUGAAUGUCGUUAUAUGGCAUUCAGAUUGUGUCGCUGUGUACACCAGAUUCUCUAAAGUGAUAGAAAAUAUUGUAGUAAGAGUAAUAUAAUAGUUGUCAAGGAUUGGUUCUCUUUCACAGCAGGAACAAGAAACUGUCCAUGAGAAAUUUUCUGUUUCAGGUGAUGACGACUUUAGAGAGCAAAGAUGGCCACCAAGGACAGGACCCUGCGGAGAUAUCAAUGCGGGAGCUAAGGGUCAAGGUCUCAAGUCUAAUUGGAGGAAAACGUGAUGACGACCCUAGAGAGCAAAAAGAUGGCCGCCUAGGACAGAACCCUGCGCAGAUACCAAUGCGGGAGCUAAGGGUCAAGGUCUCAAGUUUAAUUGGAGGAAAACGUGUUAUACCUUUUGACGGGGCCAUGCAAGUGAAUGGUGUGGUACAGAAGAAAUGGGAAGACAUCAAAACAGAGAUAUUAGUUGCACAUUAUGUUGAUUUCGUUUUAAUAAUGCUCAAACCCUCAUAUGGCAGUAAAACAGUUUUGUUUAAAUGCUUAUUUCGAAUCUAUGGUGGAAACUUGCAGAUUACUAGUAUUUAAAUUGCCUCGUUUUAACUCACAGUUCGUUUUCCAUUUGUUUGUUCUCAGAUCAAACAAGUUUAGUCCUCACAAUUAUACAAUUCGAGAACAAAGACUUCUUGUCGAUAUGUUAUGUGUCUUAAGCUGUGUCUGACAAAAAGAAUUGACAAUUUAGUGUUUUAGUACAGCACAGCAUUGGAAACUAAACUUCAUAGUUUUGUACUCCCAGUAAAAGACGACAAUUUAUAUAAGGAGUCGUUUUAUGAAUAUUCAAUGGCGGCAAUGACGCCAUAGACUCCUCUUCUCUGUUGGUAAAUCAACAACUACACUACACAAAGCACAUAUUAUUGUUGAUGAAACGCAUCAUGUAGUUUACUUGAAUGUCGUUAUAUGGCAUUCAGAUAGUGUCGCUGUAUACACCAGAUUCUCUAAAGUGAUAGAAAAUAUUGUAGUAAGAGUAAUAUAAUAGUUGUCAAGGAUUGGUUCUCUUUCACAGCAGGAACAAGAAACUGUCCAUGAGAAAUUUUCUGUUUAAGGUGAUGACGAUCUUAGAGAGCAAAGAGAUGGCCGCCUAGGAGAGGACCCUGUGGAGAUACCAAUGCGGGAGCUAAGGGUCAAGGUCUCAAGUCUAAUUGGAGGAAAACGUUAUACCUUUUGACGGGGCCAUGCAAGUGAAUGGUGUGGUACAGAAGAAAUGGGAAGACGUCAGAACAGAGAUAUUAGUUGCACAUUAUGUUGAUUUCGUUUUAAUAAUGCUCAAACCCUCAUAUGUCAGUAAAACAUUUUUGUUUAAAUGCUUAUUUCGAAUCUAUGGUGGAAACUUACAGAUUACUAGUAUUUACAUUGCCUCGUUUUUUCUCGCAGUUCGUUUUCCAUUUGUUUGUUCUCAGAUCAAACAAGUUUAGUCCCCACAAUUAUACAAUUCGAGAACAAAGACUUCUUGUCGAUAUGUUGUGUGUCUUAAGCUGUGUCUGACAAAAAUAAUUGACAAUUUUAAGCUGUGAAACAAGACUAGUUGAUUUUUCCUUUUUCAUACUAUCGUUGUUUGCUCAGGCGAUGAGCAUUGUUAUGCAGGUAGCAUAUGCUCUUUCGGUGGCUGAACGGGCGUUCCGAGUUUGAGCACCGAGAUUUUCACUGGGAAAAUGUUUUAAUUAAAGAAACUGACGAGAAGACUGUACUCUAGAAGGCCAUGGCCGAGUUGUUUCGUUCCAUGUAGUCAGGGUCAGCAUCAUAGACUUCACCUUAUCCAGGCUCACAGAAGGGACGACCGUAAACUGUUUCAAUCGUCAACAAAUGUCUUAUGGAUAAGAUACCUUUUUGAGGCAUUGACGAGAGGCGAAACGGUAUGGAAAAGGCAAGAUCUGCCUGUGUUGAAACAGAAAACGACCACAUCUGUCUGUGUGCGAAGUCUGUUUGAAUCGUACAAGCUGCAUUAUGUGUGUUUGUGUUUAGCGGUUUUUUCCCCCAACAUUUUAUUUCAGUCUUGUAAACGACGGUAUCCUUUUAGCAGUUACCGGAAUGCCCAUUUUUAUACUGAUGCCUCACUGGAAUAUCACGCCGUAGACACGUGACAUAUCAAAAUAUCCUGACACAGGACUGAUAAGUUCUCAUUAUAAUGAAAAUAGUGGCACACAGAUGAGCAUAAUUCAAAUACAUGUAUUACAAAUUAUGUAUAAAGUACCGCCGUAUUCCGAAAACAUCUGUAAGUUUGGUCUGAAAUGUUCCCCAGCCUCAUAGAUCAGAUAAAUCCCCGUGCGUUAAUGGCGAGGGUUAAGGCCUUUCUUUGCUCAACUCUUUGCAUACCUAGCCCGUAAACUCAAGAAAACCUGAUACUCAAACAUAUGUUUGUCCUCGUUAAUUCAUCUAUUUUGUUGGGUUUAACGUCGCACCGACACCAUUUUAGGUCAUAUGGCGACUUUUGUCCUCGCUAAAGUCGGAUUAUUUCAUGGGAGAGUGAUUAUGCAAAUACUUGUAAUUAUUCCUUGCAAGACUCUGGUCAGUGUUCAUGUCAGGUUUGUUCUACAUGUAUUUUGAUCUCUUCAGAUCGUUCAGCACGACAUUUUAAUUGUGUUAUAGUAAUACUUUUAAAUUUUGUAUUUUGGCCGUUUCUGUGGUAUGCAUGAUCUGUAACCUCAUAUCCUCUCUCCAGUUUAUUUAGUUUUGACCAUUUCCUUCUCGAUUACGGCAUCCCUAUCAUUCUCUUGAGAAGGGACAUUAUGAUUCGGUAAGUCACACUUGACUGAGCUACUGAUAUCGAAAGCUGUUGUCAUUGCAAGAUGGCCAGUCAAACUCCGUGACCUUAGAA
rnacentral:lncRNA from 1 species